rnacentral:lncRNA from 1 species
ACUGGCGGAAGUUCGCCCGGCGAUGUCACUCGUGUAAAAUAUGGCACUGGCCUUGGGAGCAGCACGCACAAUGCGACUGCGCCGUCAAGACGAUUAACAGCAGAAAAGGCAGCAAGAUCAGCCAGAGCUGGGAGAAAUAAUAAAAAGUGCUGCAACUGCAACUGUGGCCAUGAAGCCAGCGGCGUCAUCCAGAAGGAGAAGGAGCAGCACCAUAUUGUGCCCAUCUGGACCUGGCCUGCACGCGAUUGGGAUGGAGUGCUAACGAAGUUACAUUUAAUUAAAUAUAACGAUGGAUUUUCAUUUGGAACUAAUUUAUUUAUUAUCAUUAUAAUUCGAUUAAACUAA